UUUUUAAGAAAAUUAUUAAAAAAUAGAAUAUAUUGAUGAAAAACUCUCAAAGAAUACACAUCUAUUCACAAAUAUUCUUGUUAUCCUAACUUCUAAAUCACUAACUCAAAUCUACAAUAUUUCUCAAAAAAAAUGAAAACUUUCCAAAAAUAGCAGCUUUUAAAAAAACUAUUAAAAAUACAAUCUAUUGUGAAAAACUCUCA
rnacentral:lncRNA from 1 species